rnacentral:rRNA from 1 species
CUACGGGCUGCUCCAGUGGGGAAUAUUGGACAAUGGGGGAAACCCUGAUCCAGCAAUGCCGCGUGUGUGAAGAAGGCCUGCGGGUUGUAAAGCACUUUCGGUUGGGAGGACUGCUUCUAGCACUAAUAUUGUUGGAAGUUGACGUUACCUUCAGAAGAAGCACCGGCUAACUCCGUGCCAGCAGCCGCGGUAAUACGGGUGGUGCAAGCGUUAAUCGGAAUUACUGGGCGUAAAGCGCGCGGAGGCGGCUAGAUCAGUCGGGUGUGAAAGCCCCGGGCUUAACCUGGGAACUGCAUCCGAUACUGUCUAGCUUGAGUACAGGAGAGGAGAGUGGAAUUCCACAUGUAGCGGUGAAAUGCGUAGAUAUGUGGAGGAACACCAAUGGCGAAGGCAGCUCUCUGGCCUGAUACUGACGCUGAGGUGCGAAAGCGUGGGGAGCAAACAGGAUUAGAUACCCUUGUAGUC